GAACUGCGAUACGUAAUGCGAAUUGCAGGAUUCAGUGAGUCAUCGAAAUUUUGAACGCAUAUUGCACUUCCGGGUUAUCCCUGGGAGUAUGCCUGUAUCAGUGUCCGUA
rnacentral:rRNA from 1 species